GAUUUAGCGAGACUAUGGCAGCAUCGUUAACUUCUCAUUUGUGGUGUGUGACAACCUCAUGCAAUUGUAGUAACAAAUAUCAGAGAAUGAUAUCCGAUGUGAACAGACAUGAUUGAUCAUCUGGCAAUGAUACACGAAAAUUGAUAACAGAAACACACCAACAGACAACUAAAUCACCUGCGGCCACAAAAUUCUGCAUGAUCAAUUAUAUGUGGUUCUUUUAGCUCCAAUCUGAGAACAAUUGGCUCUAACAAAUGCAGUAGCUCCUGCCUAAGAAUGAGAUCAAGGUGGGAGGUUGUAAGCUCAAUCAAAUAACAGAAGACAGACCCUCGGGGACAAUAAGGCAAUGCCAAAUAUAACUGAAAAAUGAAAAGAUCCAAGCUCACAACACCCGGGAUUAACUGGUAGCUUGACUACCAACCGACUUCACUUGAAAUGUGCUCUGGGUACAUACUGCCUAGCCUGAAAAUUUCUUUCUUUCCAGUUGUUCCCUCAAGGAGGCCUAAAAAUGCAUCCAGUGAAAAAUGAGGCCUAAAAAUGCUAGUCAGGUCAGUCCACUAUGAAACAAAUAUUGGCAUCACCAUCUCAAAAUUACAAAUACGCACACAUGCAUUUCCCUCUGGAUCAAAGCACAAACCUUGCAAAAUAAAAAUUAAUCGUAAAACCAUGAAGAUUGAGAGGUAAAACUAUACACUGAUUAAUACACACGCCACACAUACCUUCUACUAUGCAUCGAUUUGACAAAAUCAAAGUAGUUUUAACUACAGUAGAUAGACGCCAAUCCUCUUUAAAGAAAACUGCAAAAAACUUGUUCAAGCAUGAAAGAGCAAGUACAUAUACAAAUUUAAGAACUUUCAAGCAUGAACUUUAUCGCCAGUCGGUAGAUCUAGAGGACUAAGAUGGGUAGAAUCAGGCCAUGUAGGUACUACAAUUCUAUAAUGAAAAGCAUUUGCAUGUUAAAUAAUCAUUAUGCAUCACAUCUAAUAAGAUAUCAAAUGUAGUAAAUGUUGACCCCAGCAUUAGUUUAAUCUCCAGAAUCUUCAGUUAUAUAAUACAACACAAAUAUACUACUUGCGACAAUAUGUUACCUUCUGAUUCGCUACAUCCAUAAAUAGAUCUUGAAAUCCUUUCUUGAACAUGCAGGUAAAUUCAUAUAGCCCUGUGGUAAAAAUACUAAUUUGAUAGUGAGCAUAAUAAGAGGACAGGAGACGGGAACAACAAUUCGAAGCAUUGCAUCAGAAAUUCCUUCAUGCAUCUCGAGUUCAUCACUUAUACACGCAGAAAUUCCAAAUGAGAGUGUUAGCUGAUGUUUUCUCAAAAAAGAAUCUGUCCCAACCAAAUAAAAAUUGUGAGAAGCAUUAGAAUGUUGUGGAAUAUAGUAGGUGGAGCCUUCAAUUUUUCAGGUAGAUUAGCGAGAAGUUCUGACCCCAAGGCUUCGUACUGGUUGAAGAAGAGUCCAGGAGGUGAGUGCGACACAACAGGGCUGGGUUUGGGAAGUGGCGAUGCGACGGUUCGCAGAUUCCAACCAUCGAUUGCUCAAGGUUCAUAUGACGAAAAAUUCGUACAUCACACCAUCACCAAGAAACGUGUAGCACACAAUAGUAGGGACGGGAGCAACAACCCAGCAAUAUUUUUGUUCGCAAUUCUUGUAUAGUAUGUAUGCAUCGAUUAUUGCAAGAACAUGAGAAUGCAGUGUAGCUUGACUUUAGCUGAUCCCAUGCUUCAUAGUAGAAAAUUACUCAAGAGGGAACACAUCUUGCAAGCAUAAGAAAAAUUAGAAAGAAGUUUACCAAACAAGCAAACCGUUUUGUGAAAAGAACUUCAUACCUAACAUGAAACUGUUAGAAAUGAACUAAAAUAAUAUGUGCAAUAGAACUACAUACCUAGUGAAUAAUGGAAAUUUAAUGAAAAAAAUUAUCCACAAUAUUUAGGUGAUAGCUGCAGCACAAGCAACAAAUGCAAUUAAUAAAAGGCCAUUUCCGAGACACUUACACCAUCUGGAUGUAUUUCGCUGAGUCUGGUCAUACUCUCCCUUUCCUUCCAUAAUAGUUCUGCAGUUUCAACUAAGUACUGCCAAAUAAUGGUAUCAAUGACAAAGUCUGAAUCAGAGAAGUAUUAAAGAGAGUGAUUAAAAGGAGGACAGGAGGGGUAUAGUAUUUUUACACAAAACAAACUGAAUAUGUGUAGAAAAACUGAAUCUAGUUAGGGGGGGGGGGUGAUUCCUGAAUGAAGAAAUCAAGUGACCACACCUUGGCCGUUGACCCGAUCAGCCCUGGCGAUUACAAAGGAGGAGUGGAGAGUCAACGCACCCGGCCUCCUCCACGAACGCGACACGCAUCCCACAUGGUCGUGUCUCUCGCUAAAUCCAGAUCUAGUGAUGGUGCAACAACUCAACAGAGACGGGGCUCAACAGCCGGCACAACAACGGGG
rnacentral:lncRNA from 1 species